rnacentral:lncRNA from 1 species
AACUUCUCCCGAAAGAUGACACGUGGCAUAAAAUAUAGUUUUACAUUUUAAUAUUACUAAUUUUCGAAAAUUAUAAAUAAUAUGUAAACAUACAGCAUAAAAAUGAAAAAACUACAUUAAAGAUAUGUAAGAUUACCAUUUUUCACUUAAAAAAAAAAGACGGUUUAUCUCCAUAAUGUAACAUUACCGUUUUAUAAAAAAAAUACUAAUAAAAUUGACCUUUUAAGGCUCCAUAGAGCGUCCACAUCAGCAAAAAAAACUUCUUCCGAAAGAUGACAAAUUGCAUAAAAUAUAGUUUUACAUUUUAAUUUUACUAAUUUUCGAAAAUUAUAAAUAAUAUGUAAACAUACAGCACAAAAAAUGUAAAAACUACAUUAAAAAUAUGUAAGAUUAUCAUUUUUCACUUAAAAAAAAAGACGGCUUAUCUUCAUAAUGUAACAUUACCGUUUUAUAAAAAAAACAAAAAACAUUCUAUAUAAUACUAAUAAAAGGGACCUUUUGAGGCUCCAUAGAGCGUCCACAUCAGCAAAAAAACUUCUCCCGAAAGAUGACACGUGGCAUAAAAUAUAGUUUUACAUUUUAAUAUUACUAAUUUUCGAAAAUUAUAAAUAAUAUGUAAACAUACAGCAUAAAAAUGAAAAAACUACAUUAAAGAUAUGUAAGAUUACCAUUUUUCACUUAAAAAAAAAAGACGGUUUAUCUCCAUAAUGUAACAUUACCGUUUUAUAAAAAAAUACUAAUAAAAUUGACCUUUUAAGGCUCCAUAGAGCGUCCACAUCAGCAAAAAAAACUUCUUCCGAAAGAUGACAAAUUGCAUAAAAUAUAGUUUUACAUUUUAAUUUUACUAAUUUUCGAAAAUUAUAAAUAAUAUGUAAACAUACAGCACAAAAAAUGUAAAAACUACAUUAAAAAUAUGUAAGAUUAUCAUUUUUCACUUAAAAAAAAAGACGGCUUAUCUUCAUAAUGUAACAUUACCGUUUUAUAAAAAAAACAAAAAACAUUCUAUAUAAUUUUGCAAAUAAUAAAUAUAUGUAAAAAUACAACAUAAAAAAUGGAAAUACUACAUUAAACAUAUGUAAGAUUAUCAUUUUACAUUUUU